rnacentral:rRNA from 1 species
UACAGAGACUGCAAGCGUUAUUCGGAUUCACUGGGCGUAAAGGGUUGCGCAGGCGGUUGGGUGUGUCAGAUGUGAAAUCCCGAGGCUUAACCUCGGAACUGCGUCUGGAAAACUACUCGACUAGAGUACUGGAGAGGGUAACGGAAUUCACGGUGUAGCGGUGGAAUGCGUAGAGGAUCCGGAAAGAACACCGGUGGCGAAGGCGGCCUGCUGGGGCAGUUGCUGGACACUGGAGGCGCGACAGCGUGGGGGAGCAAACAGG